rnacentral:rRNA from 1 species
AGCAGUCGCCGCGGGAAUACGUAGGUGGCAAGCGUUGUCCGGAAUUAUUGGGCGUAAAGGGCUCGCAGGCGGUUUCUUAAGUCUGAUGUGAAAGCCCCCGGCUCAACCGGGGAGGGUCAUUGGAAACUGGGAAACUUGAGUGCAGAAGAGGAGAGUGGAAUUCCACGUGUAGCGGUGAAAUGCGUAGAGAUGUGGAGGAACACCAGUGGCGAAGGCGACUCUCUGGUCUGUAACUGACGCUGAGGAGCGAAAGCGUGGGGAGCGAACAGGAUUAGAGACCCCAGUAGUCCCUGUCUCUUAUAA